UAAAAAACUAGGAUUAGAUACCCUAUUAUUUAAAAUGUAAAUAUAAAUAUUAAAGUAGUAAUAGUUAUGUUCUUGAAACUUAAAAAAUUUGGCGGUAUUUUAGUCUAUCCAGAGGAACCUGUUUUGUAAUCGAUAAUCCACGAUGGACCUUACUUAAAUUUGUAAUCAGUUUAUAUACCGUCGUUAUCAGAAUAUUUUAUAAGAAUAAUAAUAUUCAAUAAUUUUAAUAAAAAUUUAUAUCAGAUCAAGGUGUAGCUUAUAUUUAAGUAAUAAUGGGUUACAAUAAAAUUAUUUAUAUGGAUAAAAUUAUGAAAAAGUUUUUGAAGGUGGAUUUGGUAGUAAAAUUAUAAAGAUAAAUAAUUUGAUUUUAGCUCUAAAAUAUGUACACAUCGCCCGUCGCUCUUAUUAUUAAGGU
rnacentral:rRNA from 1 species